UACGUAGGGCGCAAGCGUUGUCCGGAAUUAUUGGGCGUAAAGAGCUCGUAGGCGGUUUGUCGCGUCUGCCGUGAAAACCCGAGGCUUAACCUCGUGGCUUGCGGUGGAUACGGGCAGACUAGAGGUAGGUAGGGGAGAAUGGAAUUCCUGGUGUAGCGGUGAAAUGCGCAGAUAUCAGGAGGAACACCGGUGGCGAAGGCGGGUCUCUGGGCCGAUACUGACGCUGAGGAGCGAAAGCGUGGGGAGCGAACAGG
rnacentral:rRNA from 1 species